rnacentral:rRNA from 1 species
UACGAAGGGGGCGAGCGUUGUUCGGAUUUACUGGGCGUAAAGGGCGCGCAGGCGGCUCAUUUUGUCAGGCGUGAAAGCCCCGGGCUUAACCUGGGAGGUGCGUUUGAUACGGAUGGGCUAGAGUUCGGGAGAGGAGAGUGGAAUUCCCAGUGUAGAGGUGAAAUUCGUAGAUAUUGGGAAGAACACCGGUGGCGAAGGCGGCUCUCUGGACCGAGACUGACGCUGAGGCGCGAAAGCGUGGGGAGCAAACAGGG